AGAGAGAGAGAGAGAGAGAGAGAGAGAGAGAGAGAGAGAGAGAGAGAGAGAGAGAAACCACCACCGUCCAUAUUUUCCGUCGCCGGUGCCGAUUCCGGCCAAAUCCGAUCACAAAUCUUACAUCAUUCUUUUCCUCUCUUCAUGGGCUUUCUAUUGAUAUAUGUUUCAAGACCUAUCAUCAAGUGUGCGCGACGAAUCGAAGGAGAGAAGAUUGAGUGGUUUUCUGACUAUUUUUCAAAUUCCGGCCAAACCAUUGAGAAUUUGGAGAAACCCCAAGGUAAUCCGGUUGAGCAAGGUUCUGAGGACAUUUCCGAGACGGGACACAUCUAGUCACCGUUCAUUGUAGUAGAUUUUGCUGAGGUCGGACCGCACCACGUUGAGGCAUUCUCCUUAUCCGCCGUCAUCCAUCUCAACUUGUAGGAUUUGUUUCCGUUCGUACUUUUUUUUUCUUACUUAAUUAGACCAUGUAACUUAUGCCUAAUGCCGCCUAAACCGCCUAGACGGCCACCAUGGUAAAGCAAUUGUCAACCAUGUA